rnacentral:rRNA from 1 species
GAUGAACGCUAGCUACAGGCUUAACACAUGCAAGUCGAGGGGCAGCAUGAUUGAAGCUUGCUUCAAUUGAUGGCGACCGGCGCACGGGUGAGUAACGCGUAUCCAACCUUCCGUACACUCAGGGAUAGCCUUUCGAAAGAAAGAUUAAUACCUGAUGGUAUGAUGAGAUUGCAUGAUAACAUCAUUAAAGAUUUAUCGGUGUACGAUGGGGAUGCGUUCCAUUAGGUAGUAGGCGGGGUAACGGCCCACCUAGCCUACGAUGGAUAGGGGUUCUGAGAGGAAGGUCCCCCACAUUGGAACUGAGACACGGUCCAAACUCCUACGGGAGGCAGCAGUGAGGAAUAUUGGUCAAUGGACGAGAGUCUGAACCAGCCAAGUAGCGUGAAGGAUGAAGGUCCUACGGAUUGUAAACUUCUUUUAUAAGGGA